AUUGAACGCUGGCGGCAUGCCUUACACAUGCAAGUCGAACGGUAACAGGUCUUCGGAUGCUGACGAGUGGCGAACGGGUGAGUAAUGCAUCGGAACGUGCCCAGUAGUGGGGGAUAGCCCGGCGAAAGCCGGAUUAAUACCGCAUACGACCUGAGGGCGAAAGGGGGGGAUCGCAAGACCUCUCGCUAUUGGAGCGGCCGAUGUCAGAUUAGCUAGUUGGUGGGGUAAAGGCGUACCAAGGCAACGAUCUGUAGUUGGUCUGAGAGGACGACCAGCCACACUGGGACUGAGACACGGCCCAGACUCCUACGGGAGGCAGCAGUGGGGAAUUUUGGACAAUGGGCGCAAGCCUGAGCCAGCAAUGCCGCGUCCAGGAAGAAGGCCUUCGGGUUGUAAACUGCUUUUGUCAGGGAAGAAAUCUUCUGGGUUAAUACCUCGGGAGGAUGACGGUACCUGAAGAAUAAGCACCGGCUAACUACGUGCCAGCCGCCGCCGUAA
rnacentral:rRNA from 1 species